GCCUGGGUGGCUCCAUCGGUUGGGCAUCUGACUUCAGCUCAGGUCAUGAUCUCGAGGUCCGUGAGUUCAAGCCCCACAUCGGGCU
rnacentral:tRNA from 1 species